UAGAUAUUAAGCGAUGUGAUAAAAACCUGAUCCACAGAUGUCGCCUUUUACUUUGGCAUCGUUUUGUUUAAUACACGUUUACGCCAAUUUAAGGUUUGAAUAUUGGAUACUGCGAUGGUAGCGCCAUCUAUCGGUCAAACAUUCCAAAUUUAAAAAUUGAUUAAAAAUGAAAAAAUAAUUUAAAAAACAUUUUCCAGGGGACCAAAUUGUAAAUAUAAACCAUUCCCGAAUCUCCUUGAACGUACACACAAAAUUUCAUCAAAAUCGGUCCAUCCGUUUAGGAGCAAUUCCAAGGCAAACACACGGUCAGAAGAUUUAUAUAUAUAAAGAUAUCAGAGAACGUAUGUUUAUAGAGAAGGUUCACGUUGUCGAAAAUUUGGGGAUAUUUUAAUUUUAGGAUAUUUACUGUUUUGGAUGAGCGUGUUUACCACUUAACAUCAGCGGAAGGAAAAUAACAGAACUGAGCAUUUUCAGUGUUAAAUGAGAAAAAUUAUGCUAUUUCCGAUGUUAAGGAAUGUACGCUUACAGAUUCGCAUAUCUACAAUGCGCCAAAGACUCUGCAUAUAAUUUAUAUAUCAAAGUCACUAUUUGUAAGAAAACUUAUAACGGUGAGAAAGUGGCUCAUUUACUCUGUUAAAAAUAGGUCUGUAUUCUGUGCAGGGUUGGGCAUUUUUGCACUACCACUAAAUAUUUAGUGAUAGUGAAAAACAAAUUGCACUACCACUAAACCUUUAGUGAUAGUGAAAAACAAAUUGCACUACCACUAAACCUUUAGUGAUAGUGAAAAACAAAUUGCACUACCACUAAAUAUUUAGUGAUAGUGAAAAACAAAUUGCAAUACCACUAAAUAUUUAGUGAUAGUGAAAAAAAUGCACUAUCACUAAACCUUUACUUUACAGCCAUCCAUAAGUGCUAGUACAUCAUUUCUCGAAUUCGAUGACGAGUCCACAGAUGAAAAUCAAUGUAUACAAGGCGGAGCUGUAGCAACCGAAGUAACUUUGUACUUGAAUGACGCUGAUAGAAGCAUUGAUGCUUUGCACCGCUUUCCUAUUAUAAAAAAAAAAAAUUUUAAAUACAACACACCUCUUCCUUCCUCUACGCCAGUGGAAAGACUUUUUUCCUUUGCUGGAAUUGUCAAUCGAUCCACAAGGCAAAAUCUCACCGACCGUAAUUUUGAAAUGUUGGUAUUAAAAAAAGCACAUAAAAAAUGAAUUAUGUUUUCCUAAUUUUGGUGCGGCAUAAUUAGAAGUCUCUACUCAAAUAUAUGGUUUAUUUUGAAUACAUUGCCUCAUACUGCUUCAGCUUAUACAUAUAUGUACAUACAUAAUCUUAUUUUUAUUCUUCAAGAAACAGUGUUAUGUUACUGAAAAAUGUUUAUUAUCACUAAGGGUUUUCACUAUCACUAAAGAUUUUCACUAUCACUAAAUAUUUAGUGGUAGUGCAAUUUGUUUUUCACUAUCACUAAAGGUUUAGUGAUAGUGCAAUUUGUUUUUCACUAUCACUAAAGGUUUAGUGGUAGUGCAUUUUUUUUCACUAUCACUAAAUUUUCAGUGGUAGUGAAUUUUGCUGUUUAACUACCACUGAAGAAGUAGUGCUAGUGAAACCUUAUUGCAUUUAUUUUUUAGUGCAC